rnacentral:rRNA from 1 species
AGCGUAGACGGUGUGGCAAGUCUGAUGUGAAAGGCAUGGGCUCAACCUGUGGACUGCAUUGGAAACUGUCAUACUUGAGUGCCGGAGGGGUAAGCGGAAUUCCUAGUGUAGCGGUGAAAUGCGUAGAUAUUAGGAGGAACACCAGUGGCGAAGGCGGCUUACUGGACUGUAACUGACGUUGAGGCUCGAAAGCGUGGGAGCAAACA